rnacentral:lncRNA from 1 species
AAAGGGUUUUGAACUCGGUAGUCAUGUUGUGUGAUUUUUCUUUCUUUUUUUCUCGUGCAUCACGUAUACUCUGGGGGUUAAUUUCACUCUUUUGACUCUUUUUCUACUCAAAUUUUCCGAGCAUUUUAUAUCUGUUAGAAUCUAAGGUCUCGGCAAGUGCAUUUUUCUCUUUUGUUUUUCUUUUCUUUUUUUUUUUUUUUUUUUCUCUUUUUUUUUUCUUUUAAAGAAAAUACAUACUAUUUUUCUUUUUGUAUGAUCUCAUCUUAUGCACUUGCCUUCUCUUUCAAGAUUUCCACCCCAAACUUAGUUUUAUUGCACAUCUUGCAAUUCACACAAUCAUACCGAGUUAUGACACAAAAGGAAAUGGAUGAUUAAAAGUUAACAGGGGGUUCA